UACGUAGGUGGCAAGCGUUGUCCGGAAUUAUUGGGCGUAAAGCGCGCGCAGGCGGCCUUUUAAGUCCAUCUUAAAAGCGUGGGGCUCAACCUCAUGAGGGGAUGGAAACUGGGAGGCUGGAGUAUCGGAGAGGAAAGCGGAAUUCCUAGUGUAGCGGUGAAAUGCGUAGAGAUUAGGAAGAACACCAGUGGCGAAGGCGGCUUUCUGGACGACAACUGACGCUGAGGCGCGAAAGCGUGGGGAGCAAACAGGAUUAGAUACCCUGGUAGUCCACGCCGUAAACGAUGGAUACUAGGUGUAGGAGGUAUCGACCCCUUCUGUGCCGGAGCUAACACAAUAAGUAUCCCGCCUGGGAAGUACGGCCGCAAGGCUAAA
rnacentral:rRNA from 1 species